UUACACAGAGAUGUUGAUUGUCACGUGUCAUGUUCUUAUUGGAUGUCAACUCCAUGGAAGAUGAAAUGCAUUGUUGUUUUCAUUGACCAAUCAUAACAUAACACGUGACAGUCAUCAUCC
rfam:Glycine soja cultivar W05 scaffold3618_4, whole genome shotgun sequence.